CCUCCGAAGUUUCCCUCAGGAUAGCUGGCGCUCUCGCAGAACAGACCCCGAACACACGCAGUUUUAUCCGGUAAAGCGAAUGAUUAGAGGUCUUGGGGCCGAAACGAUCUCAAC
ensembl:miRNA